rnacentral:rRNA from 1 species
GAAUAUUGGACAAUGGGCGCAAGCCUGAUCCAGCCAUGCCGCGUGAGUGACGAAGGUCUUCGGAUUGUAAAGCUCUUUUGCCAGGGACGAUAAUGACGGUACCUGGAGAAUAAGCCCCGGCUAACUUCGUGCCAGAAGCCGCGGUAAUACGAAGGGGGCUAGCGUUGUUCGGAAUUACUGGGCGUAAAGCGCACGUAGGCGGAUUUGUAAGUCAGGGGUGAAAUCCCGGGGCUCAACCUCGGAACUGCCUUUGAUACUGCAAGUCUUGAGUCCGGAAGAGGUGAGUAGAAUUCCUAGUGUAGAGGUGAAAUUCGUAGAUAUUAGGAAGAACACCAGUGGCGAAGGCGGCUCACUGGUCCGGUACUGACGCUGAGGUGCGAAAGCGUGGGGAGCAAACAGG